UGUGUGUGUGUGUGUGUGUGUGGGGGGGGGAGAGCAGGCGCAUGGUACUCCCCAUGGUAGCCCAGUCGUACUGAAGGAUAAACAGUGAUUAUCUGGGCUGCCUGGAGAGAGACACAUGCUUAUGUACCACUCUCAGACAGACCACACAUACAUGUGAGGGACACGGUAGCCAAGACAACGCUCUAGCUGCAGUCAGAGGAGAAUAACACAUAAACAAAGACACGCAGAAUCACGUUCAGUCAAGUGUGAAUUGUCAUGUCUCUCAUACACGCGUCCACACAGAUACACAAACUAUGCCGCCGAUAGUGAGGCGAGUGUGAGGCGUCUGUGAGGUAAGAAAGAUCAAAGCUACUUAAUCAGCUUUAACAGACACACUUAGAGAGAGAGAUGUGGGACAGCGGGAAAAGAAAGAAUGGGGAGAGGGAGGGAUAGCAGAGAACAGAGGGUAGAGAAAGUGGUGACAGGCGGUGACACUGCGCGUGUCCUCGUUCCCUGUUUAAGAUGGGAUAAUCACACACACACACACACACACACACACACACACACACACACACACACACACACACACACACACACACACACACACACACACACACACACACACACACACACACACAAGCUGUGCUCUGUCCUCCGUGUCCCCCUCACAGCCCACUGUGACAUGCUGUUGCCAAUGCCACGAUACUGUGUGUGUGUGUGUGUGUGUGUGUGUGUGUGUGUAGUGUCUGUCUCUUCUUUUCCUAUAUGCCUAUUCCAUCUCUUUCUCUCCCCCUCCCUCUCUUUGUAAACCCUUUCUUUGCUUACCCUUUACCUCCUCCCUCUCUUCUCUCUCGCCCACUACGUCUCUCUUACAGGAAUUGUUAGCAGAUGUGGACAGAGCUUUUUCCUUCAUCUAAAAUUAGCCCCAAUAGAAGAAUGGCAGGAAAAGAGGGAGGGAGGGAAAGGGGGAUUGAUGGAGAAGCAGAAAGGAAUAGGGAAGGAAUAGGUUGAUGGUCUCGGUGAAGUAAGGGUGUAUUUUUGGGACCUCACACACCAUGCUGACGCAGUCAAGCCGUCGGGGGCACAAACAAAUUUGGAGGAGAGGAACAGCGUCCCGGCGUCUGAGUAGCAUGUGAUGCUAACCCGUCCUGCUGUUGUUGAAAAGGCCUGGAUUAGGAUUAGUUGUAAGUGAAUAAUGAUGAGUUGGGACUAUAGAAAGGUCUUGAUCCAUCUCAGCAGUUACAUAAUUAGGACUCUAUAAAAUCAGUUAUACUUUUGAUCUGAACUGUUUAGUUUUCCCCAAAUCCCGUUUUCUCUGUUUACUUUUUCCACGUUUCUGUUUUCCCCAACUUUUUUUCAGGUUUUCACUCUCUAAAGUCAACAACAAUACUGAAUCCACAUCAGGAGACCGCUUUUGAGGUCUGUGGAUUUUGGUGUUGUUGAAAUGUAGGUUUCUGUGUUACUGUUUAAUUCCAUUGUGCAGUUAGCAAGAGGCUGUUGUUUUUGUAGCUCACGUGAUGGUAGAGUUAACAAAAAAACAUUGACGCAAAUAAUCCUGAUAUCAUUCUGCCAGGUAAGCGUAGGCUACCUUGUAGUUAACAUUUAAUUGAGAAGGUUUUUGGGAAAGCCUUUCUAUCUACCAGGAGACUUUUCAUUAGCAUCAUCGCUAACAGCUACACAGUGGUAGACGUACCGCACAUACAGACAGGGGGAAUUAUUGUUGCCUCUUCAGAAAGUUGCAGGAAAAUACACAUCACUGAGGCAUUCUGUAUGCUAGUCAAUACAGUUCAAUCAAUACAUUUUUUAUUUAUUUUUGAAUUCAGUUUUAAUGUCUGGAUGUUAUAGGACCCGACAUAAUACACUCAGCCUCUCGUUGGCACCAGGGACACUGAUGUUUUGUGUGUGUGUGUGUGUGUCUGUGAGCACGUGUGUGGAAGAGAACAGAGAAGUCCUGUAUAGUGUAACAGGUGAGUGAGAGGCGCCUGCAGUGGAUUCCCCAGGACACUACAGGACAGACCAGACAGACAGGCAGCACCACUCAACACACUGGCUGCAUAGCCUACAUAGUGAGACACAUGGAUCAAACACCAUACUGAGGUCGCUAAUGAAUGAAGUAUCACAUCACCUUAAACAAUCACCUGAAGAGUUGCAUCGUUUCAUUACUUUGUAAUGGGGUCAUUUAGUUCAGAUAAACUCCACAACUCUAACCAGUCCCUUAACAGUAGAAGUGUGAUAGAGUCUGACAGAGAGAGCAGUUGAGGUGGGGAGGACCGUAGAGCAGUUGAGGUGGGGAGGACCGUAGAGCAGUUGAGGUGGGGAGGACCGUAGAGCAGUUGAGGUGGGGAGGACCGUAGAGCAGUUGAGGUGGGGAGGACCGUAGAGCAGUUGAGGUGGGGAGGCUGUUCAUAUCAACAGGCGGUCAGGUGUUUUUUUCUUCUUAACAUUCCCACAAUGUUAAUCUGCCCUGGAACGUACCGGCCACUGGAUAGGAGGUGUUAGUGGGAACGUACCGGCCACUGGAUAGGAGGUGUUAGUGGGAACGUACCGGCCACUGGAUAGGAGGUGUUAGUGGGAACGUACCGGCCACUGGAUAGGAGGUGUUAGUGGGAACGUACCGGCCACUGGAUAGGAGGUGUUAGUGGGAACGUACGGGCCACUGGAUAGGAGGUGUUAGUGGGAACGUACCGGCCACUAGAUAGGAGGUGUUAGUGGGAACGUACCGGCCACUGGAUAGGAGGUGUUAGUGGGAACGUACCGGCCACUGGAUAGGAGGUGUUAGUGGGAACGUACCGGCCACUGGAUAGGAGGUGUUAGUGGGAACGUACCGGCCACUGGAUAGGAGGUGUUAGUGGGAACGUACCGGCCACUGGAUAGGAGGUGUUAGUGGGAACGUACCGGCCACUGGAUAGGAGGAGUGAGUGGGAACGUGCCGGCCACUGGAUAGGAGGUGUUAGUGGGAACGUGCCGGCCACUGGAUAGGAGGAGUGAGGGGGAACGUGCCGGCCACUGGAUAGGAGGAGUGAGGGGGAUCGUGCCGGCCACUGGAUAGGAGGUGUUAGUGGGAACGUGCCGGCCACUGGAUAGGAGGUGUUAGUGGGAACGUACCGGCCACUGGAUAGGAGGACUGAGUGGGAACGUGCCGGCCACUGGAUAGGAGGUGUUAGUGGGAACGUGCCGGCCACUGGAUAGGAGGAGUGAGUGGGAACGUGCCGGCCACUGGAUAGGAGGAGUGAGUGGGAACGUACCGGCCACUGGAUAGGAGGAGUGACGGGGAACGUGCCGGCCACUGGAUAGGAGGUGUGAGGGGGAACGUACCGGCCACUGCAUAGGAGGUGUUAGUGGGAACGUACCGGCCACUGGAUAGGAGGAGUGAGUGGGAACGUACCGGCCACUGGAUAGGAGGAGUGACGGGGAACGUGCCGGCCACUGGAUAGGAGGUGUGAGGGGGAACGUACCGGCCACUGCAUAGGAGGUGUUAGUGGGAACGUGCCGGCCACUGGAUAGGAGGUGUGAGUGGGAACGUACCGGCCACUGGAUAGGAGGAGUGAGUGGGAACGUGCCUGCCACUGGAUAGGAGGUGUUAGUGGGAACGUGCCGGCCACUGGAUAGGAGGUGUGAGUGGGAACGUACCGGCCACUGGAUAGGAGGAGUGAGUGGGAACGUGCCGAUAGGAGGAGUGAGUGGGAACGUACCGGCCACUGGAUAGGAGGAGUGAUGGGAGUCAUGCUGUGUUUUCUUUGAUAAUGUAUUGAAUGUGAGGUUUGGAUGCAUGCCGUGCAGGUCAGUAUAAGACCAACUGUAACAGUAUCUAACGUUGUGGCUUGCGAGACACAGCUACAGCAAGUCUGCCUACCCAGGAACUACAGAUGGAAAGUAUUGGAGUUGGUCUGGACUUAUGUCGGCUAUUGCUGUUGAGGAGCUGUUAGCAAAAGUGAUGAUAAUAUUACUAACACGGUUAGAAACCAUGCAAGGACGAUGUGAAGAGUAGUCUAGCUAUAUUUAAAGAGUUACACGGAGUUGUUCUGAGAGGAGAGGUGGUACAGCCUUUGUGGAACAGUGUAUUGUAGUUCACGGUGUCUCAGUGCAGCUUGGCCCAGCUGGCCUGCAUGGCUGGUUUGUCUUCACCACCCCUAGUUACUGCCUGGUGUUGGACUAUGGAACGGUUCUGUUCUUCCACUGCCAGGUAGAGUGGGCUUCUCUCUCUCUCACACACACACACACACACACACACACACACACACACACACACACACACACACACACACACACACACACACACACACACACACACACACACACACACAGCGAGGCAGAGUGUGGGUCUUGGAAGUGAGAGGAGCGAGAUUCUUCUCUCAUUCAGCAAAGAACUCUGUCGUCUCACGAUUACCUGUUGCUGGCUUCCUCUCUCCCUCCUCAUCCUCCACCACCACCUUUCUCUUACCUGUUCUGUUUGAGUCUUUGCUGCUCUGUGUUUGAAAGGAUUAAUUGUCAUGUAUGUUAAUUUUUUUUGUUCUGUUUGUUUCUGGGGGGUUAUUUUUAGGCCUGAAGUGUCUGGUUGCUAGGACACAGUGUCCAGGAGAGAGAGGGAGGGAGAGAAAAGGAAGGGAAUGGAGGGAGAGAGAUGUGUUUGCGUUGUGAAGGCUGAAUUACACACUCACACACUUAGUCAGCGAUGACGCACAUACACACACACACACACAUCCUGCCCAGUAACUGUUAUUGUGAACUUGUUUUUCUAGUUUUGUGUAACUUCUUGUCAUUAGGUCUGUUCUGUGUGUGUCACUGUCAUGCUGGUUUGGCUUUCCUGACUGUACCUCUCUACCUGCUGUCACUGUGUGCUCCGGUCUGUCUGUGUUCCUGUCUGUCUGUGUUCCUGUCUGUCUGUGUUCCUGUCUGUCUGUGUUCCUGUCUGUCUGUGUUCCUGUCUGUCUGUGUUCCUGUCUGUCUGUGUUCCUGUCUGUCUGUGUUCCUGUCUGUCUGUGUUCCUGUCUGUCUGUGUUCCUGCCUGUGUCAGUGUGUUAUUAGUGUGAGUGCUGGUCAGAGCAGCACACUUGUUGAGCUCUGCCAUUUCUCCUGCGGUGGCAUUGCAUCAGCUUCUCUCUGUCACACAGGACCAUCUCCUGGGUGUUAACACACCUUCCUGGUCUAGGUCCUACAGGCUUUCAGACAUGACAUGUUGACCAUCCCAGUUCUACAGGCCUGCUGGAUUUCACCUGGUGGCCAACUUUACAAAGUGUUCUCUUUUCACUGGAUGUCUAUAUGAGGGAUGCAUGCUCUCUCUCACUCUCUCACUCUCUCACUCUCUCACACACACACACACACACACACACACACACACACACACACACACACACACACACACACACACACACACACACACA
rnacentral:lncRNA from 1 species